rnacentral:rRNA from 1 species
AUUGAACGCUGGCGGCAGGCCUAACACAUGCAAGUCGAGCGGAUGAGAGGAGCUUGCUUCUCGAUUCAGCGGCGGACGGGUGAGUAAUGCCUAGGAAUCUGCCUGGUAGUGGGGGACAACGUUUCGAAAGGAACGCUAAUACCGCAUACGUCCUACGGGAGAAAGCAGGGGACCUUCGGGCCUUGCGCUAUCAGAUGAGCCUAGGUCGGAUUAGCUAGUUGGUGAGGUAAUGGCUCACCAAGGCGACGAUCCGUAACUGGUCUGAGAGGAUGAUCAGUCACACUGGAAGUUAGACACGGUUCAGACUCCUACGGGAGGCAGCAGUGCGGAAUAUUGAACCAUGGGCGAAAGCCUGAUCCAGCCAUGCCGCGUGUGUGAAGAAGGUCUUCGGAUUGUAAAGCACUUUAAGUUGGGAGGAAGGGUUGUAGAUUAAUACUCUGCAAUUUUGACGUUACCGACAGAAUAAGCACCGGCUAACUCUGUGCCAGCCGCCGCAGUAAUAC